AACAUUAUGGAUGUAGAAACAAUCUAGUUGCAGAAACUCCUCCCUGCUAACGAGGAAACCGCUAGUUAUGGAUGUAUUAUAUUUGCUAACGAGGAAACCGCUAGUUAUGGAGGUAUUAUAUCUGGUAAUGAGGAAACCACUAGUUAUGGAUGUAGUAUAUCUGGUAAUGAGGAAACCACUAGUUAUGGAUGUAGUAUAUCUGGUAACGAGGAAAUCACUAGUUAUGGAUGUAGUAUAUCUGGUAACGAGGAAACCACUAGUUAUGGAUGUAGUAUAUCUGGUAAUGAGGAAACCACUGGUUAUGGAUGUAGUAUAUCUGCCUGGAGCAAAAAUGGACCUGAGCCCUAGGACCAUGCCCCAGGACUACCUGACAUGAUGACUCCUUGCUGUCCCCAGUCCACCUGGCCGUGCUGCUGCUCCAGUUUCAACUGACCUGAGCCCUAGGACCAUGCCCCAGGACUACUUGACAUGAUGACUCCUUGCUGUCCCCAGUCCACCUGGCCGUGCUGCUGCUCCAGUUUCAACUGUUCUGCCUUAUUAUUGUUCGACCAUGCUGGUCAUUUAUGAACAUUUGAACAUCUUGGCCAUGUUCUGUUAUAAUCUCUACCCGGCACAGCCAGAAGAGGACUGGCCACCCCACAUAGCCUGGUUCCUCUCUAGGUUUCUUCCUAGGUUUUGGCUUUUCUAGGGAGUUUUUCCUAGCCACCGUGCUUCUACACCUGCAUUGCUUGCUGUUUGGGGUUUUAGGCUGGGUUUCUGUACAGCACUUUGAGAUAUCAGCUGAUGUACGAAGGGCUAUAUAAAUAAAUUUGAUUUGAUUUGAUUUGAUAUUAGUAUUAGCUAUAGGGUGUAGGGUAUUAGUAUUAGCUAUAUGGUGUAGGGUAUUAGUAUUAGCUAUAGGAUGUAGGGUAUUAGUAUUAGUAUUAGCUAUUGGGUGUAGGCUAUUAGUUUUAGUAUUAGCUAUAUGGUGUAGGGUAUUAGUAUUAGUAUUAGCUAUAGGGUGUAGAGUAUUAGUAUUAGCUAUAGGAUGUAGAGUAUUAGUAUUAGCUAUAGGGUGUAGGGUAUUAGUAUUAGCUAUAAGGUGUAGGGUAUUCGUAUUAGUAUUAGCUAUAGGGUGUAGAGUAUUAGUAUUAGCUAUCGGAUGUAGAGUAUUAGUAUUAGUAUUAACUAUAGGGUGUAGGGUAAUAGUAUUAGCUAUAAGGUGUAGGAUAUAAGUAUUAGCUAUAGGGUGUAAGGUAUUAGUAUUAGCUAUAGGGCGUAGGCUAUUAGGUAUUAGUAUUAGUAAAAGCUAUAGGAUGUAGGGUAUUAGUAUUAGUUAUUGGGUGUAGGGUUUAGGUAUUAGUAUUAGCUAUAGGAUGUAGGUUAUUAGGUAUUAGUAUUAGCUAUAGGGUGUAGAGUAUUAGUAUUAGCUAUCGGAUGUAGAGUAUUAGUAUUAGCUAUAGGGUGUAGGGUAUUAGUAUUACUAUUAGCUAUAGGGUGUAGGGUAUCAGUAUUAGUAUAAGCUAUAUGGUGUAGUGUAUUAGUAUUAGUAUGAUCAGGUUAUGAAAUGUCAUGACAGACAUUUUAGAUUCCAUGUUUCACCUGAAAUAUUAAAUGAUUUAUAAUCCUAGGUCAAUGUUAUUGUUAGGUGAAGUUUUGGGCCCUACAGUAGGUCUAUGUUAUUGUUAGGUGACGUUAUGGCUGAUGUUAAAGCUAGCUAAAGAGCAUUUUACUGUUUUUUAAGUAUAUAGCAGAUGAUCUGAGACAAAAACACAAACAUAUUAGCCAGGACAUUCAAGCGAGCCUUACAAUUAUAAUCCAAACGUAGUGUGAAAUGUAUGAAUUUUCAACCUGUAAAUGGAGGUUAUUUUUGCUGUCAGCCUAUGAGAACUCCCCUGAGUUUUCCCCCGCGGUGAUGAAUUAGUGAAUAGACACAGAGCUUAAUGUGAUUUUCCUUGAGUAGCACUCCUGAUCUUGUGCUGUAAUAUUCAGAAUACUUUGUGAAAAACUAAAAUCUUUGCUCACCAUUUUUGCUCCAGGCAGAUAUACUACAUCCAUAACUAUCGGCUUCCUCAUUAGCAGGGAGGUGUUUCUGCAUUAAAAUAGUUUGUGCAUUGCCGUUGCGCGGCAAUUUUAGCAAACACAGACAAUGGCCUACAUUGGAGACCAAUAGUCGUCUGGCACACUGCUUAUGAUUUCAAAAACUUCAAUAUCUUAUUUAUAGUUACCAGUAAUGUGAAAACAAGACGAAAUAUGACUUGUUGCUAACUUGACUGUCUUAAUUGUCAAAUAAUUUAACAGACGUCAAUUGUUGUACAACUCAUGGGUAUGCUCUGGGUAUCAUCUUUUACCUCAAAUAAACAGUGGAUUUCUGCUGUUGUGGGCCUUUAAUCAUCUGUCUGACUUUGUCAUUCACACAGGAGAGAGACGGAACUAUCGUGCAUCCUCUGAGGAGCCUCAACAACAUCAUGAUGCUGACGAGGCAGAGAAGAGUCUUUCCAGAUCAGAUCAACUCAAGAAACACCAGCAGAGAUCCACAGGGAAGAGAACUCACUGCUGCUCUGACUGUGGGAAAAAAAUCAACUCUUCAUCAGACCUUAAAAUACAUCAAAGAAUUCCCACUGGAGAGAAACCUUAUGGCUUUGAACAAUGUGGGAAGAGUUUUACUGAGUCAAACUUUCUCGCUAUACAUCAGAGAAUACACAAAGGAGAGAAACCAUAUAGUUGUGAUCAAUGUGGGAAUGGUUUCGGUACAUCUGGCUGUCUGACAAAACAGAGAACACACACAGGAGAGAAACAUUAUAGCUGUGAUCAAUGUAGGAAGAGUUUUACUACAUCUAGCUAUCUAACUAUACACAAGAGAACACACACAGGAGAGAAACCAUAUAGUUGUGAUCAAUGUGGGAAUGGUUUCGGUACAUCUGGCUGUCUGACAAAACAGAGAACACACACAGGAGAGAAACAUUAUAGCUGUGAUCAAUGUAGGAAGAGUUUUACUACAUCUAGCUAUCUAACUAUACACCAGAGAACACACACAGGAGAGAAAACAUAUAGCUGUGAUCAAUGUGGAAAGAGUAGGUACAUCUGGCAACACACCAUAGAACACACACAGGAGAUAAACAUUUUUAUCUGUGAUCAAUGUGGGAAGAGUUUUACUCUGCUAAAAAGCCUGAUGGUACACCAGCGGACACACACAGGAGAUAAACCUUAUAGCUGUGAUCAAUGUGGGAAGAUGUUGGUUAUUGAUUUGGACACGUUAAAACUGUGCUUUGACAUUGCACUAUUCCCAUUUAGCAAAAUAUAAUUCCAAAGAUGUUGAAAAUAAGACUAUGCCCGACGUCCAAUAUAUGUUCGGUUGUAGCUGAAAGUGAAAGUUGAAAAUAUGUAUUUUCGGGUUGUUUUUUCAAUUACUUGAAAACAACUUAAUUUCAAGGUACUUACAGCCUAUACACCUUGUCGCAGUAUAAUGAAUUGAGUCUAUAAUCAAUUUUAUUAACAAUCCAACAUCACUCCAGUAUUUCUUUACAUCAUUCAAAUGCUAAUUGUCUUUAUUCCAUUACUGAAGAAGCAUGACUCAAAUCAUCUCAUAUUUCAAACAUCCAGCCUGACAAAAGAUACAUGUUUCACCAUUCAGUUAAUUAUUGCCAAUACAUAUUAACAAAGGGGUGUGUGCAUUUGGUUUUGGUAUUUCAUAUUUACAAUUAUGUAACAUUUAGUAAUAAUUAUUUAUGCAACCAACUGACAAUUUUUGGGUACAAUUAUAUUGACAUUGUUGCCCUGCUUUUAGAAUAUCAGGGUUCAUUCUCAGAUGUGCCAACCCAAAUGUACUAGAGCACAACACUGGGGACUGGGCCACGAUCCACCAACAUGCCUAUCGAGUGAACCCUGAAAAGAGAGAGAAGCUCUGCAGUUGUGGAAAGUUACUACUGAUAUCGCAGGAGUUUCCUCUUGAUAUCAGACAUGUCUUUGGUAAGGACAACUUGGUUGCUGAUUGUCUCAAUUGUCUUGGCAGUCAAAAAGAUUUGUGUUUUGCAUUUACCCCGAGUGUUAUCAUGAGUCACAAUUUAUUUUGACACGUUUUUCCGUGUUGGAGAUGAGUUUUUUAUUUUAUUUUAUUAUUUUCUGUAUUUUUUUUAAAAACUGCACUGUUGGUUAGGGGCUCGUAAGUCAGCAUUUCACUGUUAGAUCUACACCUGUUGUAUUCAGCAUUUCACUGUUAGGUCUACCUGUUGUAUUCGGUGCAUGUGACUAAUACAAUUUGAUUUGAGUUUUGUUCGUUCCAAGGGGACGAGAGUCCUAGAAGCUAGUGAGUUUUAGGAUUCUAUAAAAAAAAUAUAUAUAUAUAUGAUUGUAUAUUAUUAUUUAGAAAUACGUGUUUUUUCUUGUUUUUAAUUGUUGACGGCAAGUUGUUUUCUGUUCGUGGUAAGAAAACUUGUCCAACAAAAAUAUAGGAUAUAUUUGUUGUCUUAAGCUGUUACAGGCUUUAGUUUUUCCAUUUAUGUUUUGAGGUUGGACUUUUGCACGUCGGACUCACUGACUGGUGUCACCUCGUUAGUCAGUAUGUGUUACACCUGUGCUGGCUUGUCCAUCUCGUUAGUGGGAACGUGUUUCACCUGAGCUGGUCCAGGUUCUAUUGAACAGUGUCUGGCUUAGUGCUCCAGUUGUCCUGAUAGAUGUAGAGAGUCAACACCUUUAGUUGUUCCACCUUUUUGGUUUGCUUCCUGUCUAAGUUUGGUGUGGGUUUUUCUUUUGUUUUCCUCUUCUUGGGCAGAUUUAGUCGGUCUCAUGGUGGAUGUCCUUUAGGUCCCAGUUGUUGUUACUAAUCAACUUUCAGUGGACACCCCCAUAGUGUCUUUCAGAACCCAACCUAGAAAACAAGCUUAUAUUUUGGGUUGGAUGUUGCAUCCAAUUUAUAAUGUAAUCAAUGGCAUUUCCAUAAAUGCUCAUUAGUCUUCAGUUUUUUUUAUCCUCUUAUGUUGUGUACUAAAUAUUUCUGUUUAUUUUCAUUGGUUUUUCCUGUGAAGCCAUUGUGUUGCAUCCAUGUCUGAAAUGUGCUGUAUAAAUAAAGUUUGAUUUGA